rnacentral:tRNA from 3 species
GCGGGUGUGGCGGAAUGGUAGACGCCGGGGACUUAAAAUCCCCUGACCUUUGGUCGUGCUGGUUCGAGUCCAGUCACCCGCACCA